GAUGAACGCUAGCGGCAGGCCUAACACAUGCAAGUCGAGGGGCAGCACAGAAACAGCAAUGUUCUGGUGGCGACCGGCGGACGGGUGCGUAACGCGUAUGCAACCUACCUUAACAGGGGGAUAACGGAGAGAAAUUUCCACUAAUACCCCAUAACAUCGAUCAAGGCAUCUUGAUUGGUUGAAAACUCCGGUGGUUAAAGAUGGGCAUGCGUUGUAUUAGGUAGUUGGUGAGGUAAUGGCUCACCAAGCCUACGAUACAUAGGGGGACUGAGAGGUUAGCCCCCCACACUGGUACUGAGACACGGACCAGACUCCUACGGGAGGCAGCAGUGAGGAAUAUUGGUCAAUGGGGGCAACCCUGAACCAGCCAUGCCGCGUGCAGGAAGACGGCUCUAUGAGUUGUAAACUGCUCUUAAACAGGGAUAAAGCACAGUAUGUAUACUGUGUUGAAGGUACUGUAAGAAUAAGGAUCGGCUAACUCCGUGCCAGCCGCCGCAGUAA
rnacentral:rRNA from 1 species